AAGUCGUAACAAGGUUUCCGUAGGUGAACCUGCGGAAGGAUCAUUACUAAAGUUUCUACUUUAAUGUCGAGUGCACCGUAGGCCUGCCUUGGUGUCCCGGGGCUGAUUUCUCUCUCUCUCUAGAGUGAGGGAGAUCAUUCUGGGCACCGUGUUACUACGUAUACUAUUAUGCUGACUUUAAUACACAAAUUAAAGACAACUUUUAGCAACGGAUCUCUAGGCUCUC
rnacentral:misc_RNA from 1 species